rnacentral:rRNA from 1 species
CCUACGGGAGGCAGCAGUGGGGAAUUUUGGACAAUGGGCGAAAGCCUGAUCCAGCAAUGCCGCGUGAGUGAAGAAGGCCUUCGGGUUGUAAAGCUCUUUUGUCAGGGAAGAAACGGUGCGGGCUAAUAUCCCGCACUAAUGACGGUACCUGAAGAAUAAGCACCGGCUAACUACGUGCCAGCAGCCGCGGUAAUACGUAGGGUGCAAGCGUUAAUCGGAAUUACUGGGCGUAAAGCGUGCGCAGGCGGUUUUGUAAGUUUGUCGUGAAAGCCCCGGGCUCAACCUGGGAAUUGCGAUGAAGACUGCAAGGCUUGAAUCUGGCAGAGGGGGGUAGAAUUCCACGUGUAGCAGUGAAAUGCGUAGAGAUGUGGAGGAACACCGAUGGCGAAGGCAGCCCCCUGGGUCAAGAUUGACGCUCAUGCACGAAAGCGUGGGGAGCAAACAGGAUUAGAUACCCUGGUAGUCCACGCCCUAAACGAUGUCUACUAGUUGUUACGGUUUUAAUUACGUUGUACGNAGCUACGCGUGAAGUAGACCGCCGUGGGGAGUCGGUCGCGAAGUAAUUAAACCGUCGAAAGUUAGUAGUUACGGCGUGNGAGCGCGACGGACGACGACGACGGAGGGAGGAGG